GAUGAACGCUAGCGGCAGGCCUAGUACAUGCAAGUCGAACGGGAUCCAGAUCAAAGCUUGCUUUGGUUUGGUGAGAGUGGCGCACGGGUGCGUAACGCGUGAGCAACCUACCCUUGUCAGGGGGAUAGCCCGGCGAAAGUCGGAUUAAUACCGCAUGACAUCAUUGAGAGGCAUCUUUCGAUGAUCAAAGAUUUAUCGGACAAGGAUGGGCUCGCGUGACAUUAGCUAGUUGGUAAGGUAACGGCUUACCAAGGCUACGAUGUCUAGGGGCUCUGAGAGGAGAAUCCCCCACACUGGUACUGAGACACGGACCAGACUCCUACGGGAGGCAGCAGUAAGGAAUAUUGGUCAAUGGACGGAAGUCUGAACCAGCCAUGCCGCGUGCAGGAAGACGGCCCUAUGGGUUGUAAACUGCUUUUAUACGGGAACAAACGUCGGUACGUGUACCGGUCUGAGUGUACCGUAAGAAUAAGGAUCGGCUAACUCCGUG
rnacentral:rRNA from 1 species